rnacentral:rRNA from 1 species
UACGUAGGGUGCGAGCGUUGUCCGGAAUUACUGGGCGUAAAGAGCUCGUAGGCGGUUUGUCGCGUUGUCCGUGAAAACUCACAACUCAAUUGUGGGCGUGCGGGCGAUACGGGCAGACUGGAGUACUGCAGGGGAGACUGGAAUUCCUGGUGUAGCGGUGGAAUGCGCAGAUAUCAGGAGGAACACCGGUGGCGAAGGCGGGUCUCUGGGCAGUAACUGACGCUGAGGAGCGAAAGCGUGGGGAGCGAACAGG